rnacentral:rRNA from 1 species
UUGAAGAGUUUGAUCAUGGCUCAGAUUGAACGCUGGCGGCAGGCUUAACACAUGCAAGUCGAGCGGUAACAGGGGGUGCUUGCACCCCGCUGACGAGCGGCGGACGGGUGAGUAAUGCAUAGGAAACUGCCCAGUAGUGGGGGAUAGCCCGGGGAAACCCGGAUUAAUACCGCAUGAUCUCGCAAG